CGCGUCGGUUGACAAUGGUUUCCUCGGGGUGUCAAUUUCAACUGUUACCCUCCCAAACAGGCACUAUUUAUAUAAUGAUACAUUGCGGUGAUUAUUAUUGCAGGGAUGAUUUUCACCCCUAUUGCACAUGUAGCUAAUAAGCACAAUUGAAAUUUAGAAGACAUGCUAAUUAUGUCACUUAUUAAAUAACUUGUUUAACAAGUGUGCAAAAUUACUCCUGAUGAUAGCGGGUUUGCAGCCCAUAAUUUAACAAUUUUAAAUAUAAAAUCAAAAACUUUGUGUCAAGCCGCUGAAACAACAAUAUGAUGUUGGUUAAGUAAUAUAAGGACUGAUGAAAAAGGGUGCACACACACACACACACACACACACACACACACCGUAAACUCGAGGUCACAACUCUAAGCACAUUAUGAGCACUCAGUUGGAGCGCAGUCAUUUGUUAGUCAAAGUUUGUAGGAAUGCAGUUACACGCCGCAGGAGCUGAGUAGAAAUCCCUUGGUCAACUGUCACAUUUUCACCUUGUAAAAAUUUAAAAUACAACUGUACAAUGUUUUUGAAUUUCCCAGCGAACCCACAGCAAUUCCAGAAAUAUAACAGUAUCGUGAAACUCUGGGGGAAUGCAAUCUGGUGUGACAGGACCUAAGCUUUGAGAAAACAAUCAGGUUACCAGAAAUUUGCAUUUGUCAAAUUCUUUGAGCUGGAUGAUAGUAACAAACAUUAGUAAAAGGAUGUAAAAUUUGAAUUACAGUUCUCAUAUGAAAUGCAAUCAUUAUAUUAAUAUAUAUGUAAAUUAUAUCUUACACUAGCCAACAAUUACCCCCACCCCCUUUCUAAUAAAAUCACAACAUACACGAGCUAUAAUUCAAUAGUGUACUCGUAGUUUAGAUAAAUCUACAAAUCUACCUCUGGUAUUAGUAGGAUAUUUUAGGUAAAAAAAACCCAACUCACUUUUUGGCUUUCUUGAAGUACCUCAUGUUUAUCAACUAGAAAAUAUCUAAUAUCAAAAUACUCCAGUAUAUUCUGUAAAUAACUUCUCAGCAUGCAUGGUCAAUAGAAAUGUCAUGACCUAAAGCCCAUAUUCCUCUGCUACAUUUGGUUUGCUAAUGUCACCGCCGGCCAUUCAUGCACAUGCUAAGGUCCUCUAUCAGAUGUCAAUCACUAACUGGAUGCUGAUAAGAUGUUCGGGGUGUGCUAAUAAUAGUAACUGUGUGAAAUUUGAGAGCUUUCAACAGCAGAUCACUGCUUUAGGAACAGAUGCAAAAUGUGGUCGCAAAUUUAAUUUAAGAUCAACGCUGCAUGUGUACUUUAUGAAGGUGAACAGAAAUAUUGUUUGGAAAUUGCAGUUGCAAACUUCGCAGGAUGCUUGCAUCAAGGUGAUGAUGAUUGGCAGUGACAAAAUAUUUUGCCUUGUGGAUUUUGGUUUGAAAUCACUGCAUUUGAAUUGUUUGCUGGUCUGGUGGAUGGGUAGCAUUAAUUUGGACAGAGCUUGAUCGAGAUGAAAGAUGCUUGAAGAUUAAGAUUCUAUAGAAGAUCUGGACAUCCCCCCUGGGAGGAAAUCAAUGAGGCCACAGAAAAGUUCAAAAGCCAUCCAGCCAGUCACACAGUAUGAACAGAAGAUAAACAGAACAGAAGAUAAACCUUGAUUCAUGUCAACCAUGUAUCGAAGACCGAAUUAAGUGAAAGUGCUUUCUGGAAAAUGCAGCUCUACUUGGGAACUCCAUCCUGAAUUUGAUGGAUGCGAGCUUUAUGUUUUUAGUAAUUAUAAAAUCAUAUGCACUGAGACAAUUAUUAAUAUAGUUAAAUUUUUAAUUAUAUAAACAUCUAAUCCAAUUACAAACUAAACUUGAUAUUUAAUAUAAAAAGAAA